GUUACUUUGGCUUACAGUUUCCAAGGUUUAGUCAGUGGAAGACUGACUUCAUGCUCAGGAUGAUGUCGAACAUCAUGGCAGAAGGAUGUGGCAGAGGGAUGCUGCUCCAUCAUCCACUGCAGCCAAGAAGCAGAGAGAGAGAGAGGGAAACCAGCCACCGGGAAGAUAAACCCUUCCAGGUCACACCACCAGUGACCCACCUCCUCUAGCCUUGCCUCACCUGCCUACAGUUACCACCCAAUUGUUUCCUUCAAGCUCAGAUGGUCUUAUUAGGCUGCAGCUCUCACAAAGCAAUCGUUUCACCUCUGAGCAUUCCUACUUAACACAGGAGCUCUGGGGAGAUACCUCAUAUCCAUAACAGUAGCUGUGAAGAUGAAAUUAAGCAAUGCUUAUAAAACACUUGAAAUUUAGUUAAUGCCCAAUAAGCACCGAGUUAUCAUCAUCUUUGUCAGUCUGUUCUCAUUUUGAAACACAACAGGCAAGUAAAGCUAGAUUAAUGUUAUCAGGGACUUUAUAAUUGGGCUUAAUAUUUCCCUUUGUACUAAAUACAGCAGCUAAAAUUGUAUUUAAGUGUGAAUUUUAGACAUAUAGGAUGUGCAAAAUCCUUUAAUUCAGGGAAGCCUGUAUCAGAUUCUAACAAAGUUAAAUUUUAGCUAUUUAUGAAAUUGCCUAUGCAUAAAGAAUAGUUUGAGGAAGGUUUCAGGAUAUUAUUAUUUAUCUCCCCAAAAAGCAGAUAGAGGCCUAUCAUGGCUCUUAAAAAUAGACUAAGCUUAGCAUAUGAAUUCAGUGUCCAUUUUCAUCGCCAUCUAAGAAACCCUUUGUAUUGAAGCAGCUGGAAGGUGAAAACAUCCGUUUCUCAGGCUUCCCUGUAGGCAGGGGCGAGAUAUCCAUUCUACCAGUGAGACAGUCUCAUGGUAGAAAUUACAGAAGGUGGAUGGAUGGGAUAGAAUCUCCUUUCAGCAGGAUCUGGC
rnacentral:lncRNA from 1 species